AUUGAACGCUGGCGGCAGGCCUAACACAUGCAAGUCGAACGAGUGGCGGACGUGUGAGUAAUGUCGGGGAAACUGCCCGACGGAGGGGGAUAACGACUGGAAACGGUAGCUAAUACCGCAUAACAUCGUUUGUGCCCAGGUGGGAUUAGCUAGUAGGUGGGGUAACGGCUCACCUAGGCGAAGAUCCCUAGCUGGUCUGAGAGGAUGACCGGCCACACUGGAACUGAUGCACGGCCCAGACUCCUACGGGAGGCAGCAGUGGGGAAUAUGGCGCAAUGGGCGCAAGCCUGAUGCAGCCAUGCCGCGUGUAUGAAGAAGGCCUUCGGGUUGUAAAGUACUUUCAGCGAGGAGGCGUUACUCGCAGAAGAAGCAACGGCUAACUCCGUGCCAGCAGCCGCGGUAAUAC
rnacentral:rRNA from 1 species